rnacentral:rRNA from 1 species
UGUCCGGAAUUAUUGGGCGUAAAGGGCUCGUAGGCGGCUUGUCGCGUCGGCUGUGAAAACCUGGGGCUCAACCCCGGGCCUGCAGCCGAUACGGGCAAGCUAGAAUUCGGUAGGGGAGACUGGAAUUCCUGGUGUAGCGGUGAAAUGCGCAGAUAUCAGGAAGAACACCCGUGGCUAAGGCGGCUCUCUAGUACGGUACUGACGCUGAGACGCGAAAGCGUGGGGAGCGAACAGG